GAGUGCUCUGAAAGGAGAGAAAAGCAUGAACACUAAGUGGUUGAACACUAAGAUUUUGUCUUCAAGCUGCUCCUAAAAGCUUCUUGUUGGCUUGUGGCUACUCAUUGGUUAUCAAUGGCAUGCAUCUGCUCCAUACAUUUGAUCAAACUGACUUUCCAUUAUCCAGAAACAAACGCUAGCACAGCCAUGGUUAAGCUUGUGAGACAGAAACAGACAGAUAUUUAUUUUUCCAUGUAGGGGUGGUGAGUAUAUAUUCUAUAUGUUUAUUUUGAGGGAGAAGGGAAGAUAUACUAAGCUAUAUGAAAUGUUUUCUUUUGAUGUAGUAGGCUGGCGGGGGGGGAGGGGUUGGGGUUUUGGCGGUGGGGUGGGUGAUAACCAAAGGGUCCAACUAUGUUUGGAGUGCAGUGUUAUAUGAGAUGACCUUCAGAGACGCUAUAAGCCUCUUCACUCUCAGUCUUGCCCAUUUCUUUACAGUCUUAAUGUUACACAAUAAAGUUACUGAUGGCCUCUUACAUAUACACACACAGACACUUUCACAUUUAGGACAGAGAGAUACGACUCCCAGAAAGAGAGGAACAUUAGUUGGUGCCAUAGACAUGUAAAGGUUCAAGGUUGGUUGGUGUGUGUGUGUGUAUAUGUGGGUGGGUGAGUGAGUGCAUGAGGUUCAUUUUGCAAUGCUAACCACCUUUACCUUUAUCUUUAUCCAGAACCACUACAGCAAAAAGUUCACUCCGUUAUUAUUACCAUUUUCUUUCUUUUUUGGCAAAGUAAAGAACUACUUACGUGCUCUUGCCUAUUUCAGAGUAUCCUGUGUAAAGUGUUGAUAUUCAGAAUUAUAUUGUAUAUGAUAUAUUGUAUUGAGCAUCAUGUGAAGGCCCAGCAGUGAUUUCAUGCCCCAUAUACCCCCUGCCCCCCUCCAGUCCUUUACUUGUAUCUGCAAUAACGACAACACGAGGCACAAUGGAUCUGGACCGAAAGCACAAGUGGACUGGGGAGAAACGGCAGAAGUGGCCGGUCUGAGAAUAGACUGGAUCACACACUCAACAGGGAACCGGUCUUUAGAGUGGACCAGCCCAUAAAGCAAGAGACUCAUCACAAAACUGACCUUUAACCGAUCAUAUUGUUUGUUCCACGAGUCAACUGUAUGACAAAGUGCACAGGGGACUUUUCUAUGAGAUUGGUGGGGACUUUUAUUGGGCCUUCUUUUCUGGGCAGAACAUGGCUCAAUUUCUCCCCUUCCCCCCUUUGUCUCCUCACUUCCUGCCUGAAUACUGAACUGUAAACAAAGGAUUGACGUUAGGAAACAUGCCUGUGUUGGUCAUGCCCCCCACGAGAUGAGGCGUUGGGAGAAAAUACUCCUAGGACAAGACGAAAGACAAGACACACAAUGUUUAGUUAAAAUGGGGCCUUGGUUUUGCAUUGCUGCCUUCAUACCUUGAAAUACAGUCUCCCUUAGCAUCUUCCAGAACCUUAUUACUAAUGCCCUAGUUCCCAUAUGGAUUCAAAAUCCCAGCAGAGGACGUGAAAGGAAGAGUGGUGUCAGAGGCAUGGUGUGAUGUUCGAGGACAGGGCUGGAAGUGAGCAAGAGAGAGAAGUUGACCCCAGUUUAGUUUAGACCCUUUUGAAGUGACCAGUUGGCCCCCUAGUGGCCCAAGCCCAAAACUACACACAGCCCUCCCCUGAGAGCACCAAGGCCCCAUCCAAAGACAACCCCCCCCAACUUCUGUACUUGAGUCCAGGUGAAUAAGGCUCGAGUUGAAGACCAGUCCAUAGGACAUGGGAAUCAACUUAAUCCAAGAGGAACAAUGAAAAAUAAAAUCCGUUGGAAAAAUAAA